rnacentral:rRNA from 1 species
UGUGUCCUACGGGGGGCAGCAGUGAGGAAUAUUGGUCAAUGGGCGCGAGCCUGAACCAGCCAAGUCGCGUGAGGGAAGACGGUCCUAUGGAUUGUAAACCUCUUUUGUCGGGGAGCAAAAGACGCCACGCGUGGCGUUCCGAGAGUACCCGAAGAAAAAGCAUCGGCUAACUCCGUGCCCGCAGCCGCGGUAAUACGGAGGAUCCGCGCGUUAUCCGGAUUUAUUGGGUUUAAAGGGAGCGUAGAUGGG